AAUAGAUACCCAGGUAGUCUUGGCCAUAAACGAUGAUCACUAGGUGUUGGGGCUUUGCCUCGGUGCCGCAGCUAACGCAUUAAGUGAUCCGCCUGGGAACUACGAGCGCAAGCUUAAAACUCAAAGGAAUUGGCGGGGGCCCGCACAAGCGGUGGAGCAUAUGGCUUAAUUCGAUGCAACGCGAAGAACCUUACCAGGGCUUGACAUGUAUCUGCAAGCACCCGAAACGGUGUCGCCUUCGAGGGUGAUACACAGGUGGUGCAUGGCUGUCGUCAGCUCGUGUUGUGAAUGUUGGGUUAAGUCCCGCAACGAGCGCAACCCUCAUGUUCUGUUACCAGCGAGUAAAGUCGGGGACUCGGAACAAACUGCCUCUGUAAAGAGGAGGAAGGUGGGGAUGACGUCAAGUCAUCAUGCCCCUUACGCCCUGGGCUGCACAUAUGCUACAAUGGCCGGUACAAAGAGCUGCCAACCCGCGAGGUGCGCAAAUCUCAAAAAGCCGGUCUCAGUUCGGAUUGG
rnacentral:rRNA from 1 species